GAUGAACGCUGGCGGCGUGCCUAAUACAUGCAAGUCGAGCGAACGGACGAGAAGCUUGCUUCUCUGAUGUUAGCGGCGGACGGGUGAGUAACACGUGGAUAACCUACCUAUAAGACUGGGAUAACUUCGGGAAACCGGAGCUAAUACCGGAUGAUAUUUUGAACCGCAUGGUUCAAAAGUGAAAGACGGUCUUGCUGUCACUUAUAGAUGGACCCGCGCUGCAUUAGCUAGUUGGUAAGGUAACGACUUACCAAGGCAACGAUGCAUAGCCGACCUGAGAGGUGGAUCGGCCACACUGGACCUGAGCCCCGGUCCAGACUCCUACGGGGGGCAGCAGGAGGGAAUCUUCCGCAAGGGCGAAAGCCUGACGGAGCAACGCCGCGUGAGUGAUGAAGGUCUUCGGAUCGUAAAACUCUGUUAUUAGGGAAGAACAUAUGUGUAAGUAACUGUGCACAUCUUGACGGUACCUAAUCAGAAAGCCACGGCUAACUACGUG
rnacentral:rRNA from 1 species